rnacentral:rRNA from 1 species
CCUACGGGAGGCAGCAGUGAGGAAUAUUGGUCAAUGGGCGGAAGCCUGAACCAGCCAAGUAGCGUGCGGGAUGAAGGCCCUACGGGUCGUAAACCGCUUUUGCACGGGGAUAACACCCUCCACUUGUGGAGGUCUGCAGGUACCGUGUGAAUAAGGGCCGGCUAAUUCCGUGCCAGCAGCCGCGGUAAUACGGAGGGCCCGAGCGUUAUCCGGAUUUAUUGGGCUUAAAGGGAGCGUAGGCGGGCGUUCAAGUCAGCUGUAAAAUCGCGCGGCUCAACCGCGCCCCGUAGUUGAAACUGGACGCCUUGGUUGGGCGAGAAGUAUGCGGGAUGCGUGGUGUAGCGGUGGAAUGCAUAGGUAACACGCAGAACUCCGAUUGCGGAGGCAGCAUACCGGCGCCCGACUGACGCUGAAGCACGAAAGCGUGGGUAUCGAACAGGGUUAGAUACCCCAGUAGUC